rnacentral:rRNA from 1 species
AGAGUUUGAUCCUGGCUCAGAUUGAACGCUGGCGGAAUGCUUUACACAUGCAAGUCGAACGGCAGCACGGGGGCAACCCUGGUGGCGAGUGGCGAACGGGUGAGUAAUACAUCGGAACGUGCCCAGUCGUGGGGGAUAACGCAGCGAAAGCUGUGCUAAUACCGCAUACGAUCUACGGAUGAAAGCGGGGGACUCGCAAGGGCCUCGCGCGAUUGGAGCGGCCGAUGGCAGAUUAGGUAGUUGGUGGGGUAAAGGCUCACCAAGCCUGCGAUCUGUAGCUGGUCUGAGAGGACGACCAGCCACACUGGGACUGAGACACGGCCCAGACUCCUACGGGAGGCAGCAGUGGGGAAUUUUGGACAAUGGGCGCAAGCCUGAUCCAGCCAUUCCGCGUGCAGGAUGAAGGCCUUCGGG